UUAAUUGUAGCUCAUKCUGAAAAGACCCCUAAAAGACCAUUAGAGAAGAAGCCACUGGGGAUACCUGAUUUGGGAGUAAAAGUGACACAAGAAAAAGAGGAGGAGGACGGAAACUCUACAAGUCCAGAGGAAAAAUAUGAAGCAUUUGAAUGUUAGUGUUAAAGAAUUUUGAGACUUUAAUUAAACCACCCCAAAAUUCACAAGUUCAACAAAACCAAAAAAAAAAAAGAGAAAAAGCACAAUUGCUCUCCAGGGGUUUUCAGAGUUUUACUUCUACACAUAUUUUUCUAAUUCCAUGUAGAGGAACAAAGAAUGUGUUUUUCCCACCUGAAAGUGUUGUUUGGUGAUUCAUGAAGCUUUCUCCCUUGUCUGAAGCAGAGGUUUCUCGGUUACGUACCCCGGGGCUGUGCUGCUGCGGAGCGGAAGAGAACUGCCUGGGAGGGGGAUUGCCAGUGGGGAGGGUGUGAGGCCAGGGGAGCAUUUCAGAUCAGCAGGAUAUUGCUUGGUGUCGUGUGUGUAUGCAUUCAUAUAUAAGGAGCAAAUGAAUUGUUGCUCUCAAUGGCACGGAAAAGUAAAUAAAAAGCCUCUCUCAGCAGGACUGUGAAUUCUGGCUGUGGGUUUAGAUUUGUGUUUCAAGGCUCCUUUCACUAUCGGGUUUUAUGUUUUCAGGCCCUCUCUGCAGCUCCAGUGUUAUCUCAAAAGCACCAUCUUUUUGUCUACACAAAUAGCAGCACUCAAAAUGCAAAUCUACUUAUCCAGCAGUUCCAGUAUCUAAUUCACAGCUUUUUGCCUUAUAAGUGUUGGCUCCCCCCAGCAUGAUAAAAUACAGAUUCCACUCUAUGGAAAUGGGUGGCACAGCCAGUGCCUAUGUAAAUCAAGAUCAAGAUGUGCUUAAACCCUGUGAGAUUAUUCUUAUUUAAGAUUAUUAUUAUUCUAAUUCAGUAGCUGCUUCUUCUUUAGUAGUAAACAUUGUCAAAAAGAAGCCAUGACUUAGUCUUGUACCCUAUUGAGCCAGGUCCUGUAAAAGUCAACUCAUCCCUGAAAAAAUUCAUCUCCUGGGUGGCAAGGAUGUAUUGGGAGAUGCAAAGAGGGAAGGAGAAAAGUUGCAGACAAAGGUAUUGUGUCUAUAACUUCACAUUUUCCCUUGGUCUAAUGGRCAUAACCUGUAAUUCCAACCUGUAAUUAACUGAGGAAUGAAGUUUGCAUUUUAAUUCAGUUCAAAGAAAAUAAUUAAAUCAUUAAUGAUAAUGUUUCUUUGGAACUGGAACAUCCMCUGCUGUGUUGCUUUUGCUGGUAAUUUGAAAAGUAUCUGGUCUGGCAAUUCCAAUAAAUAGAGAAAAAUACUGUCUUCACAUACAAUCAGACUGUAAUUUUUGAAAAGACAUGAUCUAAUUCUUAAUGUUUCACAUUCUUUUAUUCAGACUAUGGAGUUAAUACUAUAUUCUCCAGGCAGACCUCUCAAAAGCCRUUUGAUAAAAAGUUGGUGGCAAGAGACGGACAACAGUAUCAGUAUUAUGCGUUGCUCCUGCAAGGAUCUCAUGAGACGUUUCUGCCAUUUCCUUAAAGCUUCCAGUGGAAUAACCCUUGGUAGCCAUCCACCUUGCCUACCACAGCCCAGCAGCCCAUCAUUUCCUACAGCCAAUAAUUCAUCUCAGCUGCACUGCCCAGUCCUUGGAGGUGACUGCUGGAGACCACAGUCCCACUACAGAAAUGCAGGGAGACCAGCUGUGUUUUCAGAGAUCAGCUGUUCGCCAAACUGCUUGAUCUAGCAGGCCUCCAUCCUUCUGCAAAACAGCUUUAUAAAUAAAUGUUCACAGGUGACCAAGGUUUAAGUUUUGUUCCAAAAACGCACGUCUUAAAUCAGGAUUUCGUAAGCUCUCCUAGAGCAAUGCUUGAAUGGGAUUCAAGAGGGGGAAGUCCAGCCUGUACAGAGGACAAGGASCCAAGGAAAAAAGAAACAUUUGAUUGAGAAAGAGGCACUGAAUGACACAAAAAGUGUUCUUCGUUCUUUACUUGACUAUGAAGAAUUCUUAAGCCCUACUUCAUUGUUUUUUUGGGUUUUUUUUUAAUUAGAGACAGUUUUCAAGAAGUUUAGGACUGGAUAGGUCRGUAGGUAUAGAAAUGGAAAUGGCAAGUAAUAGAGAACAUCAUUGCCAGAGCAAACCUGGAUAUAAAUAUACCUCUCUCAAGCAUCUCUCAGUUUCUUUUGCUGUUGGAAAAUAUUUCCUAUGAACAAAAAAAUUGCUUGUACAAACUUCUGAGGGAAGUAGGUGUGAAUGGUGACACACAUUCCAAUUCCAGCGUUUAUUUGAAGGAGUAUUUGCAAAUACUUUUUGCUGGUGUUUAGCCAGCUCUAAAAGAAAGCAUCUUGCCCAUGAUAUAUAAAAGCAGUAGCAARGCUAAAAAAUUAAAUCCAGGAGAAGCUGCCCAUUCCCUAACUUUGCUAAAGAUUUUUCCUGAAUCACACAUAUUUUCUUACUCUGUUGUUCAGGUUUUUGUUUUAUUUCAAACAGUUUAUGUCAAAGAAACUCAAAACUGGGUUACAAUAAAACCAUCACUGGUAAUUUGCAAAGCUCUUGCUAACAAUUGCACUCAAAGCAUGUUAGUACAAUGAGUCUGAAAAUUCCUCAUUUCAAAGCACAGGCCCCCUUUUUCUUGCCACAAAUCCUUUUCUGCUGUACCAAACCUCUGACAGCAUAUUCCAUUUUGCACUACCACAGCAWCCAAGCAGCUCCCAUGGGUCUGAACAGCCCUUAGCAAGAGAAAUAAGUAUUACCAUCUUUUUUUUUUGGCUGGGGAUAACCAUGUUGAGCAAGACAAAGRCCUUUCCUUCUGCUCUCCUUGACAUCUACCCAGUCAAACUAACUUGAUGUGCCUCAAAGUAAAAGUGGGGUUCACUUCACAUGCCAUGAAACUGUCACCCAAAUAAUGUACCUCUGUAUCUUUACUUGUCCAAGCUCCAUUCAGAACCAACAGAUAUGUCCUCCAGAAAUGGUUUCAGCCAUUCUAUUUAACACUGCAGUCCAAUGUCCCUGAGUGCUGCUGCAAAGACAAAUCUCUAAGUCCUGUUCCGUGUCCCCUUCCUCACACUUUUCUCCUUUGGACAGCAUUAUCAUCCAUGUGGAUAUACUGAGAGCUGGAUGAAGGGAGGACCGUAUCUCUCCUUUUGAUAUUCAGYAUAUCUAUGAUUUAUAUCUA